GACGAACGCUGGCGGCGUGCUUAACACAUGCAAGUCGAACGGUGAAGCGCCUUCCUUUUUGGUGGGUGUGGAUGAGUGGCGAACGGGUGAUUAACACGUGAGUAACCUGCCCCCUUCUUCUGGAUAACCGCAUGAAAGUGUGGCUAAUACGGGAUAUUCUGAGUCUGUCGCAUGAUGGGUCUGUGAAAGAUAUUGUUUCGUUGGGGGAUGGGCUCGCGUCCUAUCAGCUUGUUGGUGGGGUGUUUGCCUACAAAGGCGGUGACGGGUAGCCGGCCUGAGAGGGUGGUCGGUCACACUGGGAGUGAGGCACGGCCCAGACUUCGACGGGAGGCAGCAGUGGGGAAUAUUGCACAAUGGGCGCAAGACUGAUGCAGCGACGCCGCGUGAGGGAUGGAGGCCUUCGGGUUGUGAACCUCUUUCGCCAGUGAAGCAGGCCUGCCUCGUUUGUGGGUGGGUUGACGGUAGCUGGAGAAGAAGCGCCGGCUAACUACGUG
rnacentral:rRNA from 1 species